rnacentral:rRNA from 1 species
AUUGAACGCUGGCGGCAUGCCUUACACAUGCAAGUCGAACGGUAACGGGCCUUCGGGUGCCGACGAGUGGCGAGCGGGUGAGUAAUACAUCGGAACGUGCCCGAUCGUGGGGGAUAACGAGGCGAAAGCUUUGCUAAUACCGCAUACGAUCUACGGAUGAAAGCAGGGGACCGCAAGGCCUUGCGCGGACGGAGCGGCCGAUGGCAGAUUAGGUAGUUGGUGGGAUAAAAGCUUACCAAGCCGACGAUCUGUAGCUGGUCUGAGAGGAUGAUCAGCCACACUGGGACUGAGACACGGCCCAGACUCCUACGGGAGGCAGCAGUGGGGAAUUUUGGACAAAGGGCGCAAGCCUGAUCCAGCCAUGCCGCGUGCAGGAUGAAGGCCUUCGGGUUGUAAACUGCUUUUGUACGGAACGAAAAGCCUUCUUUUAAUACAGGAGGGUCAUGACGGUACCGUAAGAAUAAGCACCGGCUAACUACGUG